GGCCCACCCUUAGGUGGGUGGAGAAAACAGAAGAGAAUUCUGGGAGAAAGAAGCUUAGUGAGGAGUCGCCAUGAUUCUCCCGGUCCAGACAGACGCAGGUUAAGAUCCUCCCUGGUGAAUCGGUGAGUGGCUGAAAACCAAGCUACUCUAAGGAUAAAGUGUGAGCUGAGGACGGCGGUGGCAGCUACUUAGGAGUGAGCCCAACAGCCACAUGGAAGAAAUGUGCGGGGAGAUCUACAUGCUGGGUCCAUAGGAGGAGAAGGUACGGAAGAGGAAGGGGCUCAGCAGAGGGCUCUCCAAGAACAGCUGCCCACGGGGAAGAGUCUGCCAGAGACCAGUGGCCUCUGCCUGCUGUGUGAGUCCGGACAUGGGGCAGACACUGUCCAGGCCCUGAGGACAUGGGAAGAGACAGGAGGAGAGAGAUGAUGGGGAAUCACAGAGGAAAAGAGGUCUCAGG